rnacentral:rRNA from 1 species
GCUGAAUGUGGGGAUAAUUUAUCUCCGUGUUGAAGCUAACGCGUUAGCACUCCGCCUGGGGACUACGGUCGCAAGACUAAAACUCAAAGGAAUUGACGGGGACCCGCACAAGCGGUGGAGCAUGUGGUUUAAUUCGAUGCAACGCGAAAAACCUUACCACUCCUUGACAUGGAGAUUAGAUCCUUCUUAACGGAAGGGCGCAGUUCGGCUGGGUCUCGCACAGGUGCUGCAUGGCUGUCGUCAGCUCGUGUCGUGAGAUGUUGGGUUAAGUCCCGCAACGAGCGUAACCCUCAUCCUUAGUUGCCAGCGGAUAAUGCCGGGUACUUUAAGGAAACUGCCGGUGGUAAACCGGAGGAAGGUGGGGAUGAUGUCAAGUCAGCACGGCCCUUAUGGGGUGGGCUACACACGUGCUACAAUGGUGACUACAAUAGGUUGCAACGCCGCAAGGCUGAGCUAAUCCAUAAAAGUCAUCUCAGUUCGGAUUGUCCUCUGUAACUCGAGGGCAUGAAGUCGGAAUCGCUAGUAAUCGUGGAUCAGCAUGCCACGGUGAAUACGUUCUCGGGUCUUGUACACACUGCCCGUCACGCCAUGGGAAUUGGCUUAACUCGAAGCUGGUGCGCUAACCGAAAGAAAGCAAGCCAU